rnacentral:lncRNA from 1 species
CUAGUCCCACUAGUCUAUCCUCCCAGCCUCUCAGACUGAAUCCCCUAGUCCCACUAGACUAUCCUUCCAGCCUCUCAGACUGAAUCUCCUAGUCCCACUAGACUAUCCUUCCAGCCUCUCAGACUGAAUCUCCUAGUCCCACUAGACUAUCCUUUCAGCCUCUCAGACUGAAUCUCCUAGUCCCACUAGACUAUCCUUCCAGCCUCUCAGACUGAAUCUCCUAGUCCCACUAGACUACCCUUCCAGUCCUCCCAGACUGAAUCUCCUAGUCCCACUAGACUAUCCUUCCAGCCUCUCAGACUGAAUCUCCUAGUCCCACUAGACUAUCCUUUCAGCCUCUCAGACUGAAUCUCCUAGUCCCACUAGACUGCCCUUCCAGUCCUCCCAGACUGAAUCUCCUAGUCCCACUAGACUAUCCUUCCAGCCUCUCAGCCUCUCAGACUGAAUCUCCUAGUCCCACUAGACUAUCCUUUCAGCCUCUCAGACUGAAUCUCCUAGUCCCACUAGACUAUCCUUCCAGCCUCUCAGAC